rnacentral:lncRNA from 1 species
UUAGUUCCCCAACAAUUAGUUGUGAGAAUAAUGACAAUGAAGGCAAAGUGGGCACUGGUUAUGUUUUAGUGAAAGGUGAAUUAUGAGGAGUCAUAUUUGGACAAACCAAAUCCUAGGGAUGGGAGACAAGUGGUGAACCGCAUGUACCAGAUACCGGGGCUUGCUUAAGGCAAUAUAGGGACUUGUGGAGUCGGCAUACAUGAAAAGGUUUGUGGAGCAAAUGAAAGCUAAAGGUUGGUGGUUGUAUACUGUUUCGGUGAAAAGAAUGUAGGGAGAUUGUAAAUGUUGUAGGUUGUGGUUGAUGAAUUCAACACCAUUGUUGCUUUGCAUUCAUUGGAGAGAAGCAUGAAACUGGUUAAGCACAAAGGUGUAAAAGUGUUGCAAAGUAAUACCGAUGACAGACUUGUUAUGUAAUGGAGAAGUUCCGGAAUAGUGUGAGUACUCAUCAAGAAUAAUGACAUAACAUUUAUAACUCGAAAAACUAAAAUAGGAGAAGUCCACAAAUGAGGGUGUAUUAUUUGGAACGAGCGGUAGUAAAAUAAUGGGAUGGAUAAAAAGGCAAGCAUUGUUGUUGUCCAAUUUAGCAAGAAGCACAAACAGGAGAUUGCAGAAUUGUUCUAUUACAUGAUGGAAGAAAAUUUGUAGCUAUUAUAGAAAAAGGAAGCUCGGCCCAGCUGAUCCCCAAGACUCCGUUGCCCCAAAUCGCCGAAGCUAGUUGUACAACAAGCUCUGGCGCAACUUUUAUUCAUCAAGCAGAAGUUGUAGAGGUCGCCUGAGCUAUUUGAUCUCUGGAGGAUUCUCGUUGUUUCUAGGUCCUUGAAAGAGGAACAAUAGGGAUCAGAUUUAGAUGAAAAAUAAUAUCACAAUAACAUUAUGAACAAAUAUUAAGUUCUUGAUAGUAGGUGGGAAACUAAAACAUUAUGAACAAGAAGCAAGAGAAGUGGAUCUAGUAGUUGUGAUGGGGAGCCUCGAACCAUUUCCAACUACAACACUAUGGGAAUUGUGCAUUGAUGGUGAAUAAUAAUUGUCGAGGAUACUUUCAUUCUUCACAAUGUCAGAGGUGGCUCGGUGGAGUUGGGCUGAAUUGAGAAAUGGCUUAUUGGGAUUUUGAUCAUGGAGUAUUGAUCCCACAAUGGAGUAUGCGGGAUGGAAGUAUAGCACCGCUAGGAUUGGGAUGGAGUGCUUGGUUGAGGGAUGGAUGCACCGUCAGAAAUGGGCAGCAUCCAAGCAUCACCUCGUUGUUUCAGAUGAAAAGUCGCCCACCAUGGAGAGAAGUUGCCUGACCAAGGAAACUAGGGCUGGACAUAUUGUUAAUGACUAGUGUAGUUGGGAGCACCAUGUCUAUGAACUAGCCCGUCUAGGUGCACGGGUUGAUGACUAGUGUCUAUGAAUUCUAGUAUUGCUACGUUUACACGAGUUUCUAGUGGGACAGUCGUGAUCCGAGUGACAGUUUUAUCCUGUGCAGUCACUGUUUCGUUCCUUGCUGUGUUGCCCCUCAG